UUCGAAGAGGCGCGACCGACAAGAGUAGCAAUUUGGAGUUAUUCCCGAACGAAGAAGAAUUGCCAAAGGGGAGGUCGCCGAAGCCGGUGGGCCAGGGAAGGCCGACCGCGCUGGGGCGGGGGAUAAGAUCCCCCGGACUGUCGCGGGACAAUUAGGGCCCGCGGUGCGCUAUCG
rnacentral:ncRNA from 1 species